AACGAACGCUGGCGGCAGGCCUAACACAUGCAAGUCGAACGCUGCAGCAAUGCAGAGUGGCAGACGGGUGAGUAACGCGUGGGAACCUUCCCAGUGGUACGGAAUAGCUCAGGGAAACCUGGGGUAAUACCGUAUACGCCCCUCGGGGGAAAGAUUUAUCGCCAUUGGAUGGGCCCGCGUCGGAUUAGCUAGUUGGUGAGGUAAUGGCUCACCAAGGCGACGAUCCGUAGCUGGUCUGAGAGGAUGAUCAGCCACACUGGGGCUGGGCCACGGCCCAGAAUCCUACGGGAGGCAGCAGUGGGGAAUAUUGGACAGUGGGCGCAAGCCUGAUCCAGCCAUGCCGCGUGAGUGAUGAAGGCCCUAGGGUUGUAAAGCUCUUUCACCGGUGAAGAUAAUGACGGUAACCGGAGAAGAAGCCCCGGCUAACUUCGUGCCAGCCGCCGCCGUAACAC
rnacentral:rRNA from 1 species